UUACGGCCAUACAACGUUGAAAUACCGGUUUCCAUACGAUCAUCGAAGGUAAGCAACGUUGAACUUCGCCAGUACCUUGAUGGGUGACGGUUUAGGAAGACCAAGUGCUGUAAG